rnacentral:rRNA from 1 species
AUUGAACGCUGGCGGCAGGCUUAACACAUGCAAGUCGAGCGGAUAUGAGGUGCUUGCACCUUAUCUUAGCGGCGGACGGGUGAGUAAUGCCUAGGAAUCUGCCUAUUAGUGGGGGACAACAUUCCGAAAGGAAUGCUAUUACCGCUUACGUCCUACGGGAGAAAGCAGGGGAUCUUCGGACCUUGCGCUAGUAGAUGAGCCUAGGUCGGAUUAGCUUGUUGGUGAGGUAAUGGCUCACCAAGGCGACGAUCCGUAACUGGUCUGAGAGGAUGAUCAGUCACACUGGAACUGAGACACGGUCCAGACUCCUACGGGAGGCAGCAGUGGGGAAUAUUGGACAAUGGGCGAAAGCCUGAUCCAGCCAUGCCGCGUGUGUGAAGAAGGUCUUCGGAUUGUAAAGCACUUUAAGUUGGGAGGAAGGGUUGUAGAUUAAUACUCUGCAAUUUUGACGUUACCGACAGAAUAAGCACCGGCUAACUCUGUGCCAGCAGCCGCCGUAACAC